rnacentral:misc_RNA from 1 species
AAGUCGUAACAAGGUUUCCGUAGGUGAACCUGCGGAAGGAUCAUUAUCAACGUAUCCACGUUUAUAAACCAAACCUGUGAACCGUUUGCACACACCUCUGGGCUAUGGCCGCUGUCUAUCGAUGUUAAGCUCAUUGUAUGAUUAUGGGCGUGUCGACUGACAAUUAAGGCUGUCUCUUCAGAGCGUAUUAAUCAUACGUUAUCUAUAUUAACCACUCGAACCAAAUUUACAUUUUAUCUUUGUUUGAACUGAUUUGUUUCUUACUCAGCGCUCUUAAAAACAGCGCAGAGAAGAAAUCGAAUUACGAAACAAUAAAAAGAACAACUCUUAGCAACGGAUAUCUUGGUUCUC